rnacentral:misc_RNA from 1 species
AAACCAUCAAGCCCUGCUUGGUCUUGGACGCGGUCGAGUGACCCGUCCGUAACCCGUUGGCGGUGCAGUCCGGCUCCAAGCGUAGCAAGAAUUUCGCUUCGGGAGUCCGCGGCGUCUGCCAGGAAACACCACCCAAA